rnacentral:rRNA from 1 species
CCUACGGGUGGCUGCAGUGAGGAAUAUUGGUCAAUGGACGAGAGUCUGAACCAGCCAAGUAGCGUGAAGGAUGACUGCCCUAUGGGUUGUAAACUUCUUUUAUAUGGGAAUAAAAUGUUCCACGUGUGGGAUUUUGUAUGUACCAUAUGACUAAGGAUCGGCUAACUCCGUGCCAGCAGCCGCGGUAAUACGGAGGAUCCGAGCGUUAUCCGGAUUUAUUGGGUUUAAAGGGAGCGUAGGGUGAUUGUUAAGUCAGGUGUGAAAGUUUGUGGCUCAACCGUAAAAUUGCAGUUGAAACUGGCAGUCUUGAGUACAGUAGAGGUGGGCGGAAUUCGUGGUGUAGCGGUGAAAUGCUUAGAUAUCACGAAGAACUCCGAUUGCGAAGGCAGUUCACUGGACUGCAACUGACACUGAGGCUCGAAAGUGUGGGUAUCAAACAGGAUUAGAUACCCGGGUAGUC